UAUUGUCUUAGAUGUGGAAGAUCUUCAAAUAGUAGGUGCCUGGACCAUGUUUCUGAAUAGUCUUGCUGUCACUGGUGGUAACGCUAUGCCUACACAGCAGUGAAGCAUAUGAAGAUGUCCACAGGACCAGGGUUCUGCUAUAACAAAUUUCUUUUUAAGGCAGAAUUUUAUGCAACAUAGGAGGAAUAUGUUAAAUGUUUCCUGGAAAUGAAUGAAAUCCUUCCAAGAGUGUAAGCACCAGGAGAAAAAGACAUGCGAUACCCUGACAUAAAAGAUCAUGCUUAGGCAAAGAAAACAGUUGGUUUUAGAAAACUCCUGGAUUAUUGUGCAGCAAAGUGUGCCUAUGAAUUUUGAAGGGAUUGCUAUGUGGCAGCAUAGCCCUGUUAAUAAGUAUUCUUCAUUUACUUCCUGGGUGUGGACGGAGCUGGCUAAAACGGAGAGAGCACUGCUGAGUGUUAAUAAGUUCAUGGAGAAGAAGGAAUUAAUGAGUUGUGUGCUGUGAUGGCAGCAAAGGCAUUGGAUGGAAAUAACUGUGGAAGGGAAGGAUCCUUGUAUAUAAGUGGAUGUGCUGCUGAUAUGAUCUCAGCAUGGUCUGGUGAGGUAUAUCCAACAGAAAAGAACAAAGCAUAGUGCCCUUAUUCUCAGAUGUUUGUGAGAUUUCAUUUAAAUUUUGCUCUUGCUUAAGCAAAGAUAGGCUGGUGCCCAUCAGGGUGCCCAGGGCUGCCAGAAGUGGUCAGAGGGACGAAGAGCUUUGAGCUAGAGAGGAGCUGGGAAGUGGAUGCUGUGUUUAGGCUGGCAAAACAAAGCCACAGAAGGGACGAAGACUGCUGCCUAUCUGCCUAUCAGCAGUGCAAAUAUCAGACGGGAUAGCAAAGAACACAUGGCAGUAAGCUAGCUGUGAACAGAAAUGUGAGUUUCAAACAAGAAAGUGCUUCCUAACCAUGAGACAAAUUUCCUAACCAGAAAAAAGCUUUUUGCAGUGAGGUUGGCCAGAUGCUGGAAGAGGUGCCCAGGUUGCCAUCAAAUCACCAGCACUGGAUAAGCACAAAGCUUGAGUGGAUGAGACUCUGAGCAACUUGGCCUAGGUUUGAACUGGCUGGUUAAGCAGGAGGUGGCCCAGACGACCUCCAGAGGUGCCUUCCACCCCGAAGAUCCCAUGUCCCAUUAAAAUGAGGACAUUCCCAGACACCCUUCACAGCAUGUUAGUGACAGGCAGAAACAAAGAAAGGAAAACCUCUCAAAACCCAAACUGCUGUUAAGGCAGAACUUUAUGACACGUUUAUUGUGCAUGUUGGUGGUAGGCAGGAAAGAGACCUGGGGACAAGGCUGUUUUUACCUGGUUUUGUGCCUUACAGAGAAGACACACAAGGACAAGGCAGAAAAUGUUUAGCCAUCUCUUUUUAUAUUUGGGUCUCAGUUUAGUAGCAGAAAUGAUGCUUUCCCUGCAUUUUUUGAAACAGAGGAACCUAGCAAAUUACUUAUUGAUUGUCUUUAUCACUUUUUUCCUCAAUUUAUUUUUCACAAGAUUCAGUAUUUUUUUUGCAGGAGAACUGAGAAUGACCAAAGUAAUGAACAAAAGGAAGUGCUGAGAGUUGGAAAAAAUCUAUCAUUUUUCAAUGAAGAAGACUAUAGAUGAGAUAGAAUGGGGAUAGAGAAAAGAGUGGGGGGAAAAGACGGGGAGGAAGGAAAAAAUCAAAAGAGUAUUCAAGAGGAGAUGAAGAAAAAGGAGGCACGGGGAAGUAGAGUUUUGCUAGAAAGAUUCACAAAUUCCAUUUAUUUUUCAGUUUCAGUGUCAAAGUCUUUUCUUAGCAAUUUAAAAAGCGAAAUGAAAUGGGGAAGCAAAGUGGACCUGACUUUCACUUUUGAAUCAUGGAAUGACAGAGCUUGUAAAAGAUGGGGCACUUGCCUGGGCAGAGUCAGCAAGAACAAUUUGUAACUCCUCACCCAGUGAGACUGCUGUUCAGCUGGGAGGACCAUCUCUCUGGGGGAGAGGCACUUGAUCCUUCAGGUCCGUUAAUUCCUGAGAGUAGCAGGAAAGAUCCCUUAAUCAUUUGCAACUCAGUUUUCUGUCGGUGUCGUUCCACUGAAAUAAAGACAGACAGUUUGGCUCCUGCUCCAGUAGACCUCCUAUUGACACAGAAAUACAUUUGAAGGCCAGGCUUAUGUUUUACUGAGCUUCAAUUUGAAGUGCAGGAAAGCAUCAUUUUUAAAACAGUAUUUUUCUGCACAGCCAUAUUUUUCACAGCACGGCCGUG